ACGACUCUCGGCAACGGAUAUCUCGGCUCUUGCAUCGAUGAAGAACGUAGCGAAAUGCGAUACUUGGUGUGAAUUGCAGAAUCCCGUGAACCAUCGAGUCUUUGAACGCAAGUUGCGCCCGAAGUCUUUCAGACCGAGGGCACGUCUGCCUGGGCGUCA
rnacentral:rRNA from 2 species